rnacentral:rRNA from 1 species
UACGGGGGGGGCAAGCGUUGUUCGGAAUUACUGGGCGUAAAGGGCUCGUAGGCGGCCAACUAAGUCGGACGUGAAAUCCCCAGGCUCAACCUGGGAACUGCGUCCGAUACUGGAUGGCUUGAAUCCGGGAGAGGGAUGCAGAAUUCCAGGUGUAGCGGUGAAAUGCGUAGAUAUCUGGAGGAAUACCGGUGGCGAAGGCGGCAUCCUGGACCGGAAUUGACACUGAGGAGCGAAAGCCAGGGGAGCAAACGGG